GAUGAACGCUAGCUACAGGCUUAACACAUGCAAGUCGAGGGGUAACGAGAGGAAAGCUUGCUUUCCUUGUCGACGACCGGCGCACGGGUGAGUAACGCGUAUCCAACCUGCCCCCAACUAGGGAAUAACCUUGCGAAAGUAAGACUAAUACCCUAUAAUUUCCUCAGAUGACAUCUGACGAGGAAUAAAGAUUUAUCGGUUGUGGAUGGGGAUGCGUCUGAUUAGCUUGUUGGCGGGGUAACGGCCCACCAAGGCAACGAUCAGUAGGGGUUCUGAGAGGAAGGUCCCCCACAUUGGAACUGAGACACGGUCCAAACUCCUACGGGAGGCAGCAGUGAGGAAUAUUGGUCAAUGGGCGGAAGCUUGAGCCAGCCAAGUAGCGUGCAGGAUGACGGCCCUAUGGGUUGUAAACUGCUUUUAUACAGGAAUAAAGUUAGCCACGUGUGGUUAUUUGUAGGUACUGUAUGAAUAAGGACCGGCUAAUUCCGUGCCAGCAGCCGCAGUAA
rnacentral:rRNA from 1 species